AUGAAUCUCUCUAGAAAAAAUUAUGGGCCACAGAGCAGGCAUGCGUCAAGCCGUUGGAAAUUCACCCCGGCCAGCAAGGGGAGCGCAGCCUCCGGAGCGCCUCCCAGCGCUGCUUUCUGCCUCCCACCCCGGACGCAGCGUGGCUGCUGCAUCGCCCAGGCUGCCGCCGUCAGCGCGGCGCUCGCUGGGGAAACAGUCCAGCUGCCCCUUUCACUGUCCUGUGCCAAAGACGCGUUCACGUGGCGGGGAGAUCCUAGCACGCGCAACGAAAUGGAGAACUCCCUGCCGCAGGAUGGUGCGGGGACCAGAAGCAUCCGUGGGUUCAGAGGGGGGUUAGGGGACUUCGCAGGAGAACCGGCCAGCAGCAGCCAGAAAAGACACCAGCUCCGGGGGCCCCAUCCCAGCAGGGAUGGUGCAGUCCUGCCUGGCUGUCUGCUUUGCCCCGGCCACAGCUGCUCUUCUGCAAUUCGGAGAGCUUUCCCAAGCCCCGAAAGCCCUGCACCAGCCCGGCUGCUGAAUCACAGGCCUCUGUCACCGCUUCGGCUGUGCAACGCACUUGUGAGACCCCAGCAGGGACCUGGACUGCGCCCUGGGGCACUGCCAGCUGUGACACCUCAAGGUGUCCCCACACCGCCCUCUGGCCCUGCUAGCCAAGGAUCAGCAAAACCCACUGCUGCCGGGCGUGCAGCAGUGAAAGCCCUCUGUCGUCUGCAGAGCAGGGUGGGGUGGCCCAGAAACCAGUGCCCCCAGUUCCCUGCUAACUGGGAGGAGGGUGGCCCAGCAGGCCCAGGUGCGCGGUGGAGCUCUGUCAUCUCACGGCCGUGCUGCCGCUGUGCCAGGGCCAUGCAGGGCUGCUGGCACAGCCCAGCAAUAAAUACCUCGGUGCCCUGCACCCCUGAGUCCCAAUGACCCGAGUCCGGGCAAGAGAGUGGGGAGCCAAAACUCAGCAGCACUGAGCUGUCUGUGUGGGUAGAGAUAUAUUAUAACGUCAGCACGUUAGUCACAUUAAAUAACAUCGGUCAAACAUACCUGUCACGUACAGAGUGCUUCUCAUCACGAGAGUGCAAAGUGCUUAACAAAGAGAUCAGUAGCAUUAGCCCCAUGGUACGGAGGGGGAAACUGAGGCCAGGGGUGGCACAUGGUCCCCAGGAGAGCCAGGAGAGGAACCCAAGCCUUGGGAAUCUCAGCCCAAUGCUCUGCCCACUAGGCGUCACCGAUCGUUUGGGUGAAUGCGGGCUGAUGUUGCCAUGUCCUUUUUGUGAGACGUGAAGGUUGUGCUGCCGAAGGGGCUGAAGCGGCACUUCAGGGACGGUGCCCAUGCAGACGCUCUCCCUGUGAAAGGAGCAGGGAGCUGCAUCUCUAGGGCUCCUCAUCUCGCUGCACUCACGCCAGCAUCUCCCUUUUAGAUGAGAGGGAUGUCUCUGGGCACUGCCCCAAAGGCAUGUUUCCAGGAACCCCAGUAGCUCUGUGCCAGGCUAGAGACCCCCUUUGCAGCUUGGAUCUGAUCUAACUGGGGACAGAUUCUGCCUUCUUUCUCCGGGGACACUUUUCUCAUUGACAGGAAUUUCAAUAAAUCCCUGCAAAACGGCA
rnacentral:lncRNA from 1 species